rnacentral:RNase_P_RNA from 1 species
GGGUAAGAGCCCACCGCGCGACUGGCAACAGGAGCGGCACGGUAAACCCCACCGGGAGCAAGACCGAAUAGGGGCGGUGCGAGGGGAAACCCUCGAGGGCUGUUUCCGGCUCACCGUCCGGGUAGGUUGCGUGAGGCGUAUGGCAACAUGCGCCCAAGAUGAAUGGCCGCCACGUUCUCGCCCCGCAAGGGGCGAGGGCCAUACAGAACCCGGCUUACAGGCCAGCUGGCAGU